UACGAAGGGGGCUAGCGUUGCUCGGAAUCACUGGGCGUAAAGGGUGCGUAGGCGGGUCUUUAAGUCAGGGGUGAAAUCCUGGAGCUCAACUCCAGAACUGCCUUUGAUACUGAAGAUCUUGAGUUCGGGAGAGGUGAGUGGAACUGCGAGUGUAGAGGUGAAAUUCGUAGAUAUUCGCAAGAACACCAGUGGCGAAGGCGGCUCACUGGCCCGAUACUGACGCUGAGGCGAGAAAGCGUGGGGAGCAAACAGG
rnacentral:rRNA from 1 species